UCAAGAUAUCAUCCUCCAGCUUUACGAUGCCAGAUGUCACAGCUAAGAUGUCUCCAGCUGGCACUGGAUUUUUUCUUCUUCUCUUGCUUCCAUAUCAAGCCGAGAGUGUGACAGUUCAGCAGUCUCAGUCCAGACUAGUCAAUGUGACGGACAGGGUAGAGAUCAAAUGUAGUCACAAUGACAACGAUCUCUAUGUCAUGCUCUGGUACCAGCAAAGAGAGAACCAACUGAUGAGCCUAAUGGGAUACAGCUACGAUAUCAAUCCGCCCGAGUAUGAGCAGCAGUUUCUAGAUCAAAUUGAGAUUGUUAGGGAAACCAAACUGAGAGGAGCUCUGAUCAUUCACAGUGUGAAUCUGUCAGACUCAGCUGUGUAUUUCUGUGCUGCCAGUACACAGUGA